CAGUGUGCCGAUAUGCUUUGCCACGUCAAUCAGAGCAUCAAACAUUUCUUCUGGCUCGCAGCAGCUUAUCCAGGUUCUGCAAAUAUUGAAAAUUAGUCAAGCGCACAUCCCCGUUUGAUUCAUAACUUUAACAAAACUGAUCACUCUGGAGAGCGAGACCAACUCUUGGUCCAAAUCGUCGAUCCUCUGCUGGAUGAUCAGGCUCUUUGUAGCCUCCUCGUUCUUCAGGGCCGACAGCCUGGCCUCCUCCUGCUCCCUCAGGAAUAGGUGGAGCGCCUCAAAUUCCAUCUUGAUCUGCCUUUCCGUGUUAUCCAACUGGAUCUGCGUAAGAGAGACGCGCCUCAAAGCUUUAAAUGUCCCUCUUCAAAUUUCUGACAUUUCUGACUGAACUGUAUUUCACCCAACUCAAAGAUGAGUACCUUAACGUGCUCCUGCAUGUCCUCGCAUACAAUUUUGGCCUCCUUGUACUGCUGUAACUUCUCCUUCAAAGGCAGCAGGGCUCCCUUCAGCUCUUCCUAUAUGAAAGUCAGUUGACCGCAAGGUCAGUAAGCUGCUGGUGGCGGACGGCGGCGCCAAAUAAAUGGGUCACAUCUGUGUGAAUGGCUCAAGCACAGCCUGGUGACAAGCAUAAAGCUCAACUCACGCUGCUCAGACCAAGUGAGUAUUCUUUUCACAUUAGUAGGCGCAUGUCUCACUCUUGAUAGAGGCCCAGCAGGCAGAAUGGGAUGAGCUAUCAUUAAAAAAAAAAAGUGAACAGGGGCUCGGAUUUCAGGACCCCAGCAGCCACGCUAAACCCUAAAAUAUCAAUCUAUUAUUAGAAUGGCAAUAAUCUCUGAUAACCAUCAUCAUGCAUAUUCAAGAAAUGCCAUGGCUGUGUGAUUGAUAGCUGUAUCGAUGCCACGAUACAUGCAGUUAAAAGUACUUCAGUGUGAGUUUAUAUUUUAUUUUUAUUAUUAUUCAUAAU